rnacentral:misc_RNA from 1 species
CAAACUUCAAGCCCUGCUUGGUGUUGGGUUUCUACGGCUCCUGUAGGCUCCAAAAACCAGUGGCAGGCUCGCUAUAAAUCCGAGCGCAGUACAUGUAUCUCGCUUGGGAAGUGUGACGGGUUCCAGCCGCAAACCCCCCAACUUACACCACAA